rnacentral:lncRNA from 1 species
GCGGUUCGUUUCUCUAGUUAUCACUCCCUUUCUUUGGUUUGUUUUCUUAAUUUAACAAAGUUGAACUGGCCCUUAGAACAUAAAGAACGCUUCUUUGAUGGUUAUAAAGAUACAAAGAGAGUCCAUUAUAAAUUAAUGUUUGUGUGACUAUAUAUAGUACAAUAAAUUGUUGAGAUUGUCUUUUGCAUGACUGCAUGGUUUUGAAUAUGUUGAUUGAUUUCUUACACAUGUAUAGUCACCUAAUAUGGUGGGGACUCCAUUGGGGGUUCUCCAACUUAUCCUCUACUGUAAGUACAAGAACAAGGAGACGCCGAUUACAACAACAGUGAUGAGCAAAUGGGAUGAUGAAAAGAACAAGAGAGAACUUGAGCUUGUAGUUGACGUUGAUCAUGAUGGUGAUGCCAAAGAGAAGAAGUUCAACAACGCAUGUUAGUUAGUUUUUCCCUCCCAAAAAGCUCCAUGUGAAUCCAGAGAUUUAAAGUAAACUUGACGGUCUCGUGGGAUUAUGCUUUCAUUACAUGAUGUUUCAUCUCCAUUGUGUAUCAUGUGAAUAAAACAAGAGUUUUUUGUUCUCGACGACAAAAAAUCCAAUGUGUUACACCAAAACACAAUCCAUUCUGUCUAUAAAAAGGAGCAAAGGGAAAGAAAAGGAAAACCCAAUGAUCAAUCGAUAGUCUAUGAUUGAUACGAUGCAGAAUUACUGGCUAUUUGUUUUUGUAAAAUGUAUCCAAAGAGUACGUGGACUCACGGUUUAAUCCACAGAAAACACACCUGAUACUUUAUAUAUAUUUUUUACUUAUUUGUCUAAUUUAUGGAAAACACUUGGACACGCACGGACACACACGGACAGCCACAGACGUCUUGUGUGUGCUGGCUACUGCUACUCGUCGCCCAAAGAAAAGGUAUGUAAUUUAUUAAGUAUCACAUGAUAUCAUAUUCUUUUUAUUUUGUAAAAUAGUAUUCGUGACAUUGAUCUAUAUAGACAUUUGAAUUAGGUUAAGGUUGGUGUUAUAUUUGUUCCGGUGGUGGUCGUUUUUUUCGGGUUAACGGCUGUAAUCUCAGCCGUAGUGUUUGACGAGCCCCGUCACCGGAAAUCAUUCGUCGGAAGUGUCGGCCUCGUGGCUUCUAUCUCCAUGUAUGGUUCUCCUCUCGUCGUUAUGGUAAUUAAGCUAUAUAUAUUAAUACUAUUAACUAGAGAUAUUAUUUAUACCGGAAUAUAUAAUUAUGGAUCAAGCUAAUAUAAUGUGAAUGUGUAUGCAGAAAAAAGUGAUAGAGACAAAAAGUGUGGAGUACAUGCCAUUUUACUUGUCAUUCUUUUCAUUUCUGGCUAGCUCCCUUUGGUUGGCCUAUGGUUUACUCAGCCAUGAUCUAUUUCUUGCGGUUCGUUUCUCUAGUUAUCACUCCCUUUCUUUGGUUUGUUUUCUUAAUUUAACAAAGUUGAACUGGCCCUUAGAACAUAAAGAACGCUUCUUUGAUGGUUAUAAAGAUACAAAGAGAGUCCAUUAUAAAUUAAUGUUUGUGUGACUAUAUAUAGUACAAUAAAUUGUUGAGAUUGUCUUUUGCAUGACUGCAUGGUUUUGAAUAUGUUGAUUGAUUUCUUACACAUGUAUAGUCACCUAAUAUGGUGGGGACUCCAUUGGGGGUUCUCCAACUUAUCCUCUACUGUAAGUACAAGAACAAGGAGACGCCGAUUACAACAACAGUGAUGAGCAAAUGGGAUGAUGAAAAGAACAAGAGAGAACUUGAGCUUGUAGUUGAC